UAAGUUCAGGCUUGUUCCUUUCGGGGCAGCGAGCCGAAACUGCGAACGGCUCAUUAGUCAGAUAAGGUUCCUUGGCGAAAAGCGGGUCGGUUUAAUGGAUAACUGUGGUAAUUCUAGAGCUAAUACAUGCAACGCACCGUGGUCCCCCCUCUUCCCCAUCGUGCUCGAGGGGGGAAACGGCAUUUAUUCUCUGGACCAGAUCGCCCUAGCCUGCGAAGCUACCGUCAAAAGUAGCGACGGGGCGAGCGACAAGUGUUGAAAUCCGAAUAACUGUGCCGAUCGCGGGGUCUUUCCGGGCCCCCGACGACUUUGCCAUGAAGUGUCUGUCCCAUCAAUUUGCGAUGGUCGGCGACCUGCCUACCACGGUGUUGACGGGUAACGGGGAAUCAGGGUUCGAUUCCGGAGAGGGAGCCUGCGAAACGGCUACCACCUCCAAGGAGGGCAGCAGGCGCGCAACUUACCCAAUCCCGACACGGGGAGGUAGUGACGAAAAAUAACGUGGCGGGGCCCU
rnacentral:rRNA from 1 species